rnacentral:tRNA from 1 species
GCCGUAGCUCAGCUGGUUAGAGCGCCUGACUGUGGAUCAGGAGGUCGCAGGUUCGAAUCCCGCCGGCUGUA